rnacentral:rRNA from 1 species
ACGAACGCUGGCGGCGUGCUUAACACAUGCAAGUCGAACGGUGAAGCUCCAGCUUGCUGGAGUGGAUCAGUGGCGAACGGGUGAGUAACACGUGAGCAACCUGCCCCUGACUCUGGAAUAAGCGCUGGAAACGGCGUCUAAUACUGGAUACGAGAAGGGUCCGCAUGGGCACUUUCUGGAAAGUUUUUCGGUUGGGGAUGGGCUCGCGGCCUAUCAGCUUGUUGGUGAGGUAAUGGCUCACCAAGGCGACGACGGGUAGCCGGCCUGAGAGGGCGACCGGCCACACUGGGACUGAGACACGGCCCAGACUCCUACGGGAGGCAGCAGUGGGGAAAAUUGCACAAUGGGCGAAAGCCUGAUGCAGCGACGCCGCGUGAGGGAUGACGGCCUUCGGGUUGUAAACCUCUUUCAGCAGGGAAGAAGCGAAAGUGACGGUACCUGCAGAAGAAGCACCGGCUAACUACGUG